rnacentral:rRNA from 1 species
CCUACGGGUGGCAGCAGUGGGGAAUAUUGCACAAUGGGCGCAAGCCUGAUGCAGCCACGCCGCGUGCGUGAUGGAGGCCUUCGGGUUGUAAACCGCUUUUUUUCAAGGGCAAGGCACUGUCUUUGGUCGUGUUGUGUGUAUUGUUUGAAUAAGCACCCGCUAACUACGGGCCACCUGCCGCGGUCAUACGUAGGGUGCAAGCUUUAUCCGGAUUUAUUGGUCGUAAAGGGCUCGUAGGCGGUUCUGCGUGUCUGGUGUGAAAUUCCAUCGUUUAACGGUGGAUCCGCGCCGGGUACGGGCGGGCUUGAGUGCGGUAGGGGAGAGUGGAAUUCCAGGUGUAACGGUGGAAUGUGUAGAGAUCGGGAAGAACACCAGUGGCGAAGGCAGGUCUCUGGGCAGUUACUGACGCUGAGGAGCGAAAGCGUGGGGAGCGAACAGGAUUAGAUACCCCUGUAGUC